UACGGAGGGUGCAAGCGUUAAUCGGAAUUACUGGGCGUAAAGCGCACGCAGGCGGUUUGUUAAGUCAGAUGUGAAAUUCCCGAGCUUAACUUGGGAACUGCAUUUGAAACUGGCAAGCUAGAGUCUUGUAGAGGGGGGUAGAAUUCCAGGUGUAGCGGUGAAAUGCGUAGAGAUCUGGAGGAAUACCGGUGGCGAAGGCGGCCCCCUGGACAAGGACUGACGCUCAGGUGCGAAAGCGUGGGGAGCAAACAGG
rnacentral:rRNA from 1 species